GACGAACGCUGGCGGCGUGCUUAACACAUGCAAGUCGAACGGAAAGGCCCUGCUUUUGUGGGGUGCUCGAGUGGCGAACGGGUGAGUAACACGUGAGUAACCUGCCCUUGACUUUGGGAUAACUUCAGGAAACUGGGGCUAAUACCGGAUAGGAGCUCCUGCUGCAUGGUGGGGGUUGGAAAGUUUCGGCGGUUGGGGAUGGACUCGCGGCUUAUCAGCUUGUUGGUGGGGUAGUGGCUUACCAAGGCUUUGACGGGUAGCCGGCCUGAGAGGGUGACCGGCGACAUUGGGACUGAGAUACGGCCCAGACUCGUACGGGAGGCAGCAGUGGGGAAUAUUGCACAAUGGGCGGAAGCCUGAUGCAGCAGCGCCGCGUGCGGGAUGACGGCCUUCGGGUUGUAAACCGCUUUCGCCUGUGGCGAAGCGUGAGUGACGGUAAUGGGUAAAGAAGCACCGGCUAACUACGUG
rnacentral:rRNA from 1 species